GAUCUCAAAUCAAGUGAGGAUACCCGCUGAAUUUAAGCAUAUUAAUAAGCGGAGGAAAAGAAACUAACAAGGAUUUCCAUAGUAACGGCGAGUGAAGUGGAAUUAGCUCAAAUUUAAAAUCUAUUAUUCUGUAAUAGAAUUGUAAUUUUUGAAUAUGUAAUCAAUUGUUAAUUAUGAAUGAAAAUCUCUUGGAAAAGAGUAUCAAAGAAGGUGAUAAUCCUGUGAAUCAUUUAUAAUUAAUAAUUAUAUGUUUAUAUGUUUUAGAGUCGGGUUGUUUGGGAAUGCAAUCUUAAAUGGGUGGUAUAUCUCAUCUAAAGCUAAAUAUUAACAAGAGACCGAUAGCAAACAAGUACCGUGAGGGAAAGGUGAAAAGAACUUUGAAAAGAGAGUGAAAAGUACUUGAAAUUGUUUACAGGGAAACGCUUUAAUCCUUUAUUCUAUUUAUUCAAUUGCUGAUUUAUUUAUGAUUAUUAUUUUCUAUGAUUUCGUAAGUUUUAUAUUGAGUAUUAUGAAGUAAAUACUUUGGUAUUUUGAAUGAAAAGACGCAACAUCAAUUAUAAUCAAUUUAAAAUAAUUUUAUGGAGGUAGUGUUCGUUUCUUGGAACAAACAUGAAACAUAAUUUCUAUAAAUUGAAUAUAAUUGGCAUGUCAAAUUUAUGCCUCUAGGCUGUAAAGUAAGUGAUAUUUUAUAUAAAUGAUGAAGACUUCAAAGAAGUGUUUGUUAUUUAUGUUUUAUAUUUAUUUAUUAAUAAAAUAAAUUAAUGAUUGUUGCGAUAAAGAGUUAAAUCGACCCGUCUUGAAACACGGACCAAGGAGUCUAACAUGUAUACGAGUAUAUAAGUUUUAAAACUUUUAUGCAUAAUGAAAGUAAGAUGGUAAGAAUAUUCUUUAUGAAUAUGCAUUAUCGAUCAAUCUGGAUCCUUGAGUGAAAGAAUUGAAUAGAAGUAUAUAUGAUAGGACCCGAAAGAUGGUGAACUAUACUUGAGUAGAACGAAGACAGAGGAAACUCUGUUGGAGGUUCGAAGGGGUUCUGACGUGCAAAUCGAUCUUCAAACUUGAGUAUAGGGGCGAAAGACUAAUCGAACCAUCUAGUAGCUGGUUCCCUCCGAAGUUUCCCUUAGGAUAGCUGGAGCUCAUACAAGUUUUAUCAGGUAAAGCGAAUGAUUAGAGGAUUUGGGGCUCAAAGAGCUUCGACCUAUUCUCAAACUUUAAAUUGGUAAGAACCUCUAGUUUACUUAAUAGAACUGGAGGAAAGAAUGCGUUGUUCCAUGUGGGCCCUUUUUGGUAAGCAGAACGGGUAAUGAGGGAUGAACCUAACGUUGAGCUAAGGCGCCGAAAUCCCCGCUCAUGAGAUACCACAAAAGGUGUUGAUUCAUAUAGACAGCAGGACGGUGGCCAUGGAAGUCGGAAUCCGCUAAGGAGUGUGUAACAACUCACCAACCGAAUGAAUUAGCCCUGAAAAUGGAUGGCGCUUAAACGUAUUACUUAUACUUAAUCAUUAUUAUAAAAGUUAAAUAAUAAUGAGUAGGAGGGCGUACUGAUAAUAUUGAAGAUUUACUGUAAAGUGAAUUUGAAUUAUCUUUAGUGCAGAUCUUGGUGGUAGUAGCAAAUAUUCAAUAGAGAACAUUGAAGACUGAAGUGGAGAAAGGUUUCACAUGAACAUCAUUUGUAUGUGAGUUAGUCGAUCCUAAACGCAGGGUUAAUUCCUAAGAAUGAAUAAUUUAUUAUUCUAUUGUGUGAAAGGGAAAUAGGUUAAUAUUCCUAUACUAUAUCAAGGAGCUAUUAAAAAUGGUAACAUAAAUGAUAUCAAAAACAUUGGUAGAAUAACCAGGAAGAGUUCUCUUUUCUUUUUAACAAUUAUGAUGAAAAUCAGAAAACUAUGGAAUCAAUUUAUUUGGAGAAAUAGUUUAAAAAUUGGUAAAGCAAUCUAUUUUUUAGGAUUGUCUGGUAUUAUUCUAACAAUACAUUAAAAUUUGAUGGAAAAAAUUACUUUCUUGAAUAGUCGUACUCAUA
rnacentral:rRNA from 1 species